rnacentral:rRNA from 1 species
AUGGAUGGAGGCAGCAGCAUCAACAUCCUCUAUUAUGAGACUUUCCGUCGUAUGGGGCUAGUUGAUAAGAACCUCAGCCAGUCAAAUACUAUCUUCCAUGGUGUGGUACCUGGUAAAUCGGCUUAUCCAGUCGGCAAGAUCGAACUGGAAGUGGCCUUCGGUGAUGAGAACAACUACAGGGUGGAAAAGUUGACCUUUGAGGUGGUCAAGAUAAGAAGUCCAUACCAUGCUAUAUUCGGACGGCCGGCUUACGCCAAGUUCAUGGCACGGCCGUGUUAUGUGUACUUACAACUCAAGAUGCCGGGUCACAACGGGACCAUUACGGUUCACGGCAGCCGGAAAGUGGCUCUGGAGUGUGAGGAAGGUGACGCGGCUUAUGCAGAGUCUGUUUGUGCCACAGAAGAGUUGAAAUUUUAUAAAGACAAUGUUGACCCAACAUAUAUGACCUCUCUGAAAAAGCCAACCACGGAGAAUGAACCAGCAAUGAAGUUUAAAUCAGCUGAUGAGACUAAACUUGUUGAUUUUGUUCCAGGUGACUCGUCUCAGCAGUUCAGCAUCAGUGCAAAUAUGGACCCGAAAUAG